AGCGAACGCUGGCGGCAGGCCUAACACAUGCAAGUCGAACGAACUCUUCGGAGUUAGUGGCGGACGGGUGAGUAACACGUGGGAACGUGCCUUUAGGUUCGGAAUAACUCAGGGAAACUUGUGCUAAUACCGAAUGUGCCCUUCGGGGGAAAGAUUUAUCGCCUUUAGAGCGGCCCGCGUCUGAUUAGCUAGUUGGUGAGGUAAAGGCUCACCAAGGCGACGAUCAGUAGCUGGUCUGAGAGGAUGAUCAGCCCCAUUGGGACUGAGACACGGCCCAAACUCCUACGGGAGGCAGCAGUGGGGAAUCUUGCGCAAUGGGCGAAAGCCUGACGCAGCCAUGCCGCGUGAAUGAUGAAGGUCUUAGGAUUGUAAAAUUCUUUCACCGGGGACGAUAAUGACGGUACCCGGAGAAGAAGCCCCGGCUAACUUCGUG
rnacentral:rRNA from 1 species